AACUGCAAAGGGAAAAAUGGGUCUGUGCCUUUCUUCUUCCUCUUUACGGGGGGCGGGCGGAAGAAAGCCUGAAAGGCUGGGAGACUGGGCAGAGAUGCUCCAGCUACAGAGGCUGAGGCGGCUUGCGGGGGCAAACUGCCUGCUCCGGAGACACAGCGCUACGUGGAGGAGCUCUCCCAAAAAUGCAUCCUUUGCAGAAGUGCUGCAGCUGGAGGAUAAAAAGCUCACUGGUGUAGUUUUCCCUCUCCAGGGUCUAGAGAGGUAUCUAGCCCCAGGAGUGAACACUGCAAGCUUCCGGACUUUCAGCCCCGGCCUGGAUGACAUUCACAGGGCAGAGGCGCUUUUCAAACCCUCGGGCAGACACGUGAUUGAUUAUUUCAGUUCUGCUGUCCGCAUGGACCAUGCACCACAGCUGUCGCAGCCUGAGGUGUGCUUUGUGGGCAGAAGCAAUGUUGGGAAAUCCUCCUUAAUAAAGGCCUUGUUUUCAUUGGCUCCCGAUGUUGAAGUCAGAGUGUCGAAAACUCCAGGCCACACAAAGAAAAUGAAUUUCUUCAAAGUGGGGAAAUACUUUACCUUGGUGGACAUGCCAGGCUAUGGCUACCGAGCCCCGCAAGACUUUGCUGACAUGGUGGAAGCCUAUUUACAAGAGCGUCAGAACUUGAAGAGGACGUUCUUAUUAGUGGACAGCGUGGUAGGAUUUCAGAAAGCAGACCACACUGCCAUAGAAAUGUUGGAGGAGUUUGGGAUCCCUUACGUUUUUGUGUUAACCAAAAUCGACAAAGCUUCCAAGGGACUGUUGGUUAAAAAUGUACUGGAGAUCCAGGACUUCGCAGAGAAGCACACUCAGGGGUGCUUUCCUCAACUCUUCCCAGUCAGUUCCAUAGAGUAUUCUGGCAUCCACCUGCUGAGGUGUUUUAUAGCCCAUGUUACAGGAAACCUUCCCAUGAUGAAUUCCUGACAGCCACAACUCUCCUGUUGUAUUCUACUCAUCCAGCACAACAGUGUUGACAAGGAAGUAGCAAGAACACUCUUUCCUGCUGUAUGGCUUCCUACCUGGAGGUGGAAGGGACUUGUCCUUUAAGAAGUUACGAGAGGAUGAUGCCGUUAAAGGAAGUCUGGUGCACAAGCUGCAUGGAGUUACGUGGUACCUCUGCCAGGCAUAACUCUAUGCUGUGCCCCAAGGGAAAUUACCCUAAUGUAAUCAAGCACCAGUGGCUACAAGCUGUGAGGGCUCUCCACCACCCCAUCAGUUCCUAGGAGAAAGAGCAGAUGAAGUAAUAGCAGGAGGAAAGCUGUGGCUUUGUUAAUGAUCCUACAUGAAAAGCCACCAUUUCCAGGACACGGUACAACUUUUCAAGCAGUUGAAUUUUCUCUUCAUUUGUUGUCCUCACAGCAAUCUGGUGCCUGAGGAAUACAAAUACAUUCCCUUAAUUGCAUGCCCAGGCCAAAGAGAAACCUCUUCAUUUUAAGGUUGGCAAUGUAAUAAAUGUUAAAAAAACUCAAGAGGCUGGAUGAUUUAAAACCUACUUUUCCAUUUGUACUUAAGUGUCUUUCUAAAGGAAGAUGCAUCUUCCAAUGAGAGUGCAACUAUUAAAACAUUUACAAUUAAAGCCUUUUCACUAGAUUUAGUGUAUCCUCUUAGGUAGUAAAAAGAUGCACUAGAACUAUCUACAUAUAAGCAAUUAAACUACAUAACUGUACAUUUUUAGUAUGUUAAAAAUAGUGAGGGAUAUUGCUUAUUUACUAGAUAAAGUACUUUUUGCUCUGAUUUGUGUCAAGCUGUAUGAGGACGGUAACUGGAAUUUAAACAAACAAAACAGCAUAUAAAAAUACCACCUUAAAAAUGUUUUGGAUAGAUAAUCUCUUAUCAAAGCAUGUUCCAUGUUUACAACUAAUCUCUAUUUAAUAAAUCAUUUAAUUACUCAGUGAAUUAAACUGGUUAUUUCAGGUAGCUUGGGAAAGUUUUCAAAUAUGCUUAAGUAAAAGUGACAGUUUAAAUUCCUAAUCUCACCUAAGUAUCUUGAAAAUAAGAUGUCUCCUAAAUUACUCAGGCUGACCUAUUGUGCCAUAUUUAAAAAGCUUGAUUUAAUAAAAAAUCAAAUUUCAAAUAAAAUCUAAUCCUGAACCUAAGACUAUAGAUAAAAUUGAGUACCUAUACAGUUUAUAUGUUCUCUAGCAAGCAUCCAGCCAAUUCAGCAUGAUCAGACAUCACAAUAACCUUUCAUCUAAUCUCUCCCACUACAUUUUUAAUCAGUUCAAAUAUAUCAAAAACUAUAAAGGCAGUGAACCAUCCAUGUACACAGGAGUAUUUUUAGACUACAUCUAUAUACAAUACCUAAUAUGAUAAAUCUUAGUUACACAACACUAUUAUGCAUGCUUUGUAAUGUUAAAAUAUUACUAUUCUGCAGCUAUAUGUAUAGGGGUAGACUCUGAACCUGCAUGGUUUAUGUAGCAUGGCACAAGAUAAAGCAGGGGGCUGAGGAUCUACUGAAGAAAAGACUAUAAAAGAGCUAGAAGGUAGAAUAUUAGGACUUUUAUAUUUUGAACAAGUGUGUCAAGUCUUGAGGGUUUUUCUGUAGAACUUGAAAACUCAACGACUCUUGAUAGAUGGGACAUGGAAUAGGUGUCACUGCAAUAUGUAAUAACUAACAUUCACAUGGCUGGAUAUUAGAGAAUGCAUGAACUGUAAAAGA